rnacentral:rRNA from 1 species
UACGUAGUGGGCCAGCGUUGUCCGGAUUUAUUGGGCGUAAAGAGCGUGUAGGCGGCCAGGUAGGUCUGCUGUGAAAACUCGAGGCUCAACCUCGAGACGUCGGCGGAAACCAUCUGGCUAGAGUCCGGAAGAGGAGAGUGGAAUUCCUGGUGUAGCGGUGAAAUGCGCAGAUAUCAGGAAGAACACCCGUGGCGAAGGCGGCUCUCUGGGACGGUACUGACGCUGAGACGCGAAAGCGUGGGGAGCGAACAGG